rnacentral:rRNA from 1 species
UACGUAGGGGGCAAGCGUUGUCCGGAUUUAUUGGGCGUAAAGAGCGUGUAGGCGGCCUGACAGGUCUGCUGUGAAAACUCGAGGCUCAACCUCGAGAUGUCGGCGGAAACCGUCUGGCUAGAGUCCGGAAGAGGAGAGUGGAAUUCCUGGUGUAGCGGUGAAAUGCGUAGAGAUCAGGAAGAACACCGGUGGCGAAAGCGCUCUGCUAGGCCGCAACUGACACUCAUGGACGAAAGCUAGGGGAGCGAAUGGG